AUUGAACGCUGGCGGCAGGCCUAACACAUGCAAGUCGAGCGGAUGAAGGGAGCUUGCUCCUGGAUUCAGCGGCGGACGGGUGAGUAAUGCCUAGGAAUCUGCCUGGUAGUGGGGGAUAACGUCCGGAAACGGGCGCUAAUACCGCAUACGUCCUGAGGGAGAAAGUGGGGGAUCUUCGGACCUCACGCUAUCAGAUGAGCCUAGGUCGGAUUAGCUAGUUGGUGGGGUAAAGGCCUACCAAGGCGACGAUCCGUAACUGGUCUGAGAGGAUGAUCAGUCACACUGGAACUGAGACACGGUCCAGACUCCUACGGGAGGAAGCAGUGGGGAAUAUUGGACAAUGGGCGAAAGCCUGAUCCAGCCAUGCCGCGUGUGUGAAGAAGGUCUUCGGAUUGUAAAGAACUUUAAGUUGGGAGGAAGGGCAGUAAGUUAAUACCUUGCCGUUUUGACGUUACCAACAGAAUAAGCACCGGCUAACUUCGUG
rnacentral:rRNA from 1 species